rnacentral:tRNA from 1 species
UCGAAAAAUCGGUAGACGCUACGGACUUAAAUUUUGAGCCUUAGUAGAGAAAUUUAUUAAGUGACUGUUUUCACAUUCAGGAAAACCUAAGGUUUGAGAUAUGAGGCAAUCCUGAGCCAAAUUUUAGUUAUGAAAUAGGUGCAGAGACUCGAAGGAAACUAUCCUAACGAAAAAAGUUUUUCUCUUUAUAUUACGAGUAUUGGUUAAGUGUAUAAUACAAAAUAUAUAUUGAAAUAAUAAAAACAUUUCAACACCAAUAUUCAUAAUGAGUUUUUAAAUAACUUCUAAUAGACGAGGAUAAAGAUAGAGUCCUUUUUUACAAUCUAUGUAAUUUUGACUUAAUAGGAUAAUUGUAAAAAGAAAAUCCGUUGGCUUUUAAUAGACCUUGAGGGUUCAAGUCCCUCUACCCCCA